CUUGUCUCAGUGUCUGACACUGUAACCACCAAUAGUUUAUACUUAUACCCAUCUCUGUAUGCUGCAAUUCUACAUAACAAUCUGCAAUUCUAUGUUUCAUCAAGGCAUUGCAUAGCAUUAACAGAUCAAUUGGAUCAUGGGCAUUUAAGUUUUUACAUCAAGUUGCUGAAUAAGCAAGACCUUUUUUAAGGCAAGUGGGUGAAUACUUUGCGUAACCAGCUUCAGCUACAAACAUCAGCUUCACAGCCCAAUUUGUGGACAAAUGCAAAAGGUUCUCUCUUGACCAGUUAAUUGCUACUUCUGAAGCAGUUGAUGAUGAUGGUUAUCAAACAAACUAUAAUAGGGAUAUGUUCUAUCAUUUCCAUUCCCAAUAAAAAGCAUGCAGCAAACUUCUAAAUGCAAACAGAGUGAAAAAAAUGACAAGAAGCAAGAUUCUGUUUUAUUGGUUAUCAUCACAGAUUAUCUGUAAGUUAUGUUUUGACACAGAAUUUUGGGAAUGCAUCACAGACAGCAGUUUCAGGGCUAGGGGCUAUAAGGUCGACUAAGCUCUUUGUAUGUCAAUUCGUUGGCUGCUACCUGCUGGAUUUUCCCUCUUUGACUUUCUAAGAACGUACCUGCUCUUGAUUUGAAAUUUAUGCUGCGCCGCUAUUUAAUGAAUUAAUCCAGUAGGCGGAACCUGCCGAAAGAUCGGCAACGACUGUCGACUGACGGACGUGCUAUUAUUCUGCAAUACUGCUCACUUGCGUGCCAACUUUUCAUUGCCCCGAGGCAUGUGAGAGUUGAGCCUGCUCCAGCUACCCGGCCAGCAUCAUUUGUCUACACAGCCGACUGUACUACUACCCCAGCCCUCACCUAGCACGGAGUUUCUUGAGGGCGACGAGAUCAUGAUAUUGAUGAGGAGAAUAUGUUUUCGCAGUCGGACUUUGCCGCUUUGGCUCUUUGCUGGCAGCUGGCAGAGACGCCAGAUGCGGACGUUUUUAAAUGCAAGACUGAAAAUGGCAAUGUUGCGGUUUGCGCGUUACUUUCAAGAUGGCUUCUGUCAUUCGACGAGAGUCAAAAGCAACUGACAGAUCCCAGCUGAAAUGGAUCGUCCCGGUUUGUAGAAUUUGGCGUAACGCGUCUUCUACACUGCGGAGUGCGACGACCAGGGAUCGAAAGUGGCUACUUCAUCUCCUUUUCCCCCUUCUCUCGUCGUGUGCACUGUUUUUCUGUGUGGGCGGAGCUCUCAGCAGGAGGAGGUGCCUGCUCGACGGUAUUUCCAAGGCUUCAAGACCCACCCCCAGCAACGUCAACCUGCAGAAGGAAUGGCUAGUUUACAUGUCUUUCAUAAUCGAAGGUCACGGAGAUCAUUAAGUAAAACGUGUCAUGCAGUGGUGUAGAGGUUGGGUGAGAACGGGACGUGUU